UAUCAGUCAUGCAUAGCAUAUCAAUAAGCGGAGGAAAAGAAACUAACAAGGAUUCCCUUAGUAACGGCGAGUGAAGCGGGAAGAGCUCAAAUUUGAAAUCUUCAAGGUUUUACCUUGACGAAUUGUAGUUUAAAGAAGUGUUUUCUGUUGAAGUUUUGGUAAAAGUUCUUUGGAAUAGGACAUCAUAGAGGGUGAGAAUCCCGUAUCUGACCAUUACUUUCAGCUUUGUGAUACACUUUCAAAGAGUCGGAUUGUUUGGGAAUGCAGUCCAAAAUGGGUGGUAAAUUUCAUCUAAAGCUAAAUAUUGGCGAGAGACCGAUAGCGAACAAGUACCGUGAGGGAAAGAUGAAAAGAACUUUGAAAAGAGAGGUUAAACAGUACGUGAAAUUGUCAAAAGGGAAGCGUUUGACACCAGUGUUGUUUUUCUCGAAAAUCAAUUAAAAAGAGUUGGAUUUUGUGUUGUAUUGACUUUAUCAGCUUUCUUCACUCUUUUCCAGCUUUUUUUAAUGCACUUUUCGUUUAACAAGUCAACAUCAGUUUCUUUUGUUGUAAAAAGGUCAUUGGAAGGUGGCUUUCUCUUCGGAGAAAGUGUUUUAUAGCCUUUGACUCAUGCAAUCGGAGAGACUGAGGUCUGCAGCGUAGAUCCUUCGGGGUUAGAUACAUUUGUGCUAAGUUAUAGCUUUUCAUAGACAACUUGUUGACUAUGUUUAGUCUUGUAGCUUACUCGCUUAUGCUAUUUUACCUACGCUUAGGAUGUUGAACUCUAUCACACACAG
rnacentral:rRNA from 1 species